ACGGGAGGCAGCAGUGAGGAAUAUUGGUCAAUGGACGAGAGUCUGAACCAGCCAAGUAGCGUGAAGGAUGACUGCCCUAUGGGUUGUAAACUUCUUUUAUACGGGAAUAAAGUGAGGCACGUGUGCCUUUUUGUAUGUACCGUAUGAUUAAGGAUCGGCUAACUCCGUGCCAGCAGCCGCGGUAAUACGGAGGAUCCGAGCGUUAUCCGGAUUUAUUGGGUUUAAAGGGAGCGUAGGCGGACGCUUAAGUCAGUUGUGAAAGUUUGCGGCUCAACCGUAAAAUUGCAGUUGAUACUGGGUGUCUUGAGUACAGUAGAGGCAGGCGGAAUUCGUGGUGUAGCGGUGAAAUGCUUAGAUAUCACGAAGAACUCCGAUUGCGAAGGCAGCUUGCUGGACUGUAACUGACGCUGAUGCUCGAAAGUGUGGGUAUCAAACAGGAUUAGAUACCCUGGUA
rnacentral:rRNA from 1 species